GAUGAACGCUGGCGGCGUGCUUAACACAUGCAAGUCGAACGGUGAAGGCGGAGCUUGCUCUGCUGGAUCAGUGGCGAACGGGUGAGUAACACGUGAGCAAUCUGCCCCUGACUCUGGGAUAAGCGCUGGAAACGGCGUCUAAUACUGGAUACGAGCUGCGAAGGCAUCUUCAGCAGCUGGAAAGAACUUCGGUCAGGGAUGAGCUCGCGGCCUAUCAGCUUGUUGGUGAGGUAACGGCUCACCAAGGCGUCGACGGGUAGCCGGCCUGAGAGGGUGACCGGCCACACUGGGACUGAGACACGGCCCAGACUCCUACGGGAGGCAGCAGUGGGGAAUAUUGCACAAUGGGCGAAAGCCUGAUGCAGUAACGCCGCGUGAGGGACGACGGCCUUCGGGUUGUAAACCUCUUUUAGCAGGGAAGAAGCGAAAGUGACGGUACCUGCAGAAAAAGCGCCGGCUAACUACGUG
rnacentral:rRNA from 1 species